rnacentral:tRNA from 1 species
GGGGUUGUAGCUUAGUGGUAGAGCGCUUGUCUUGCAUGCAUGAGGGUUCUAUCCUCAGCACCA